AUUCCUAUUUGACAGCAAAGGUAUAUGAUCACAAAUUGGUUUCCCUGAGGAAGGCUCAUCCAUAUCACUAGAGAUCUGUUGAAUCCUGGGAUUUCCCCAAAUUCAGGAAACUCAACUGCAUUAUUUGUAAUAAUGGGGACUAUGUUCAAGCUUUUCCGUU